rnacentral:rRNA from 1 species
UAGGGAAUCUUCGGCAAUGGGGGCAACCCUGACCGAGCAACGCCGCGUGAGUGAAGAAGGUUUUCGGAUCGUAAAGCUCUGUUGUAAGAGAAGAACGUGUGUGAGAGUGGAAAGUUCACACAGUGACGGUAACUUACCAGAAAGGGACGGCUAACUACGUGCUA